rnacentral:rRNA from 1 species
UGAGGAAUAUUGCUCAAUGGCCGCAAGGCUGAAGCAGCAACGCCGCGUGAGGGAUGAAGGAUCUAUGGUCUGUAAACCUCUGUAGAGAAGGAAAAAUAACCCAUUAUAUGGGCUUGAUAGUACUUCUAGAGUAAGCCCCGGCUAACUUCGUGCCAGCAGCCACGGUAAUACGGAGGGAGCGAGCGUUGUUCGGAUUUAUUGGGCGUAAAGGGCAUGUAGGCGGCUUUGCAAGUCGGGUGUGAAAGCCCAUCUCUUAAAGAUGGAACGGCAUUCGAAACUGCAAGGCUUGAGUUCAGGGGAAGAAAGCGGAAUUCUCGGUGUAGCAGUGAAAUGCGUAGAUAUCUGGAGGAAUACCAGUGGCGAAGGCGGCCUGCUGGGCUCUAACUGACGCUGAGGCUCGAAAGCAUGGGUAGCAAACA